rnacentral:rRNA from 1 species
GACGAACGCUGGCGGCGUGCCUAAUACAUGCAAGUCGAACGAGAGCGACCGGUGCUUGCACUGGUCAAUCUAGUGGCGAACGGGUGAGUAACACGUGGGUAACCUGCCCAUCAGAGGGGGAUAACAUUCGGAAACGGAUGCUAAAACCGCAUAGGUCCUUUAACCGCAUGGUUGAAGGAGGAAAAGAGGCGCAAGCUUCUGCUGAUGGAUGGACCCGCGGUGCAUUAGCUAGUUGGUGAGGUAACGGCUCACCAAGGCCGUGAUGCAUAGCCGACCUGAGAGGGUGAUCGGCCACAUUGGGACUGAGACACGGCCCAAACUCCUACGGGAGGCAGCAGUAGGGAAUAUUCCGCAAUGGACGCAAGUCUGACGGAGCAACGCCGCGUGAGUGAAGAAGGUUUUCGGAUCGUAAAACUCUGUUGUUAGAGAAGAACAAGUGCUAGAGUAACUGUUAGCGCCUUGACGGUAUCUAACCAGAAAGCCACGGCUAACUACGUG